GGGCCCGCACAAGCGGUGGAGCAUGUGGUUUAAUUCGAUGAUACGCGAGGAACCUUACCAGGGCUUAAAUGUUAGGUGACAGAUCUAGAAAUAGAUUUUUCUUCGGACACUUAACAAGGUGCUGCAUGGUUGUCGUCAGCUCGUGCCGUGAGGUGUCAGGUUAAGUCCUAUAACGAGCGCAACCCCUGUUGUUAGUUGCCAGCGAGUAAUGUCGGGAACUCUAGCAAGACUGCCAGUGCAAACUGUGAGGAAGGUGGGGAUGACGUCAAAUCAUCACGGCCCUUACGUCCUGGGCUACACACGUGCUACAAUGGUAGGUACAGAGAGCAGCCAAUGCGCGAGCAUGAGCAAAUCUAUAAAACCUAUCUCAGUUCGGAUCGGAGUCUGCAACUCGACUCCGUG
rnacentral:rRNA from 1 species